rnacentral:lncRNA from 1 species
UUUGCUUGGUGAGGAGAAUCGCUUGUGGAUUUUCUGUCAAUGUUGUGAUUGUUGCUUGAGGACAAGCAAGGAUUUAAGUGUGGGGGGGUUGUUUAGCCCUAUUUCGUGAUGAUUUUAUGAGGUUUCCUGCUGUGCAUUCGAGCUCGUUUCGUACCUUUUUGCUCUAUAUUUCACGUGCUCGAUGAUCUUUUUGGAUGUACUAUUGUUGCGUGCAGGAUUCGCGAGUUGCCGAGCAUUUUGGCAUAGUUUCGAGCAUGUUUUGGAGUCAGUCUCACGGCCGCCGCCGCCAGGCGGCGGCCGCCG